AGACCAGCACCUCAAGUGGUCAGGAUGAUUAUUGGGCCUAAAGCAUCCGUAGCCGGCUCUGUAAGUUUUCGGUUAAAUCUGUACGCUUAACGUACAGGCUGCCGGGAAUACUGCAGAGCUAGGGAGUGGGAGAGGUAGACGGUACUCGGGAGGAAGUGGUAAAAUGCUUUGAUCUCUCGAUGACCACCUGUGGCGAAGGCGGUCUACCAGAACACGUCCGACGGUGAGGGAUGAAAGCUGGGGGAGCAAACCGCAUUAGAAACCCCGGUAGUCC
rnacentral:rRNA from 1 species